AGUGAACGCUGGCGGUAGGCCUAACACAUGCAAGUCGAACGGCAGCACAGUAAGAGCUUGCUCUUACGGGUGGCGAGUGGCGGACGGGUGAGGAAUACAUCGGAAUCUACUUUUUCGUGGGGGAGAACGUAGGGAAACUUACGCUAAUACCGCAUACGACCUACGGGUGAAAGCAGGGGAUCUUCGGACCUUGCGCGAUUGAAUGAGCCGAUGUCGGAUUAGCUAGUUGGCGGGGUAAAGGCCCACCAAGGCGACGAUCCGUAGCUGAUCUGAGAGGAUGAUCAGCCACACUGGAACUGAGACACGGUCCAGACUCCUACGGGAGGCAGCAGUGGGGAAUAUUGGACAAUGGGCGCAAGCCUGAUCCAGCCAUGCCGCGUGGGUGAAGAAGGCCUUCGGGUUGUAAAGCCCUUUUGUUGGGAAAGAAAAGCAGCAGGUUAAUACCCCGCUGUUCUGACGGUACCCAAAGAAUAAGCACCGGCUAACUUCGUG
rnacentral:rRNA from 1 species